GUUAAAUGAUACAAAUAACUGCCAGUGGAAUACUCAAAACGAAUAUUGUUCACGUGUUCACAAGAUUUUCCCCAAUUUAUAAAUAGUUUAGUGAAAAAAAGUAAUAAGAUCAGAAAAGUCAAAUCAAAUUUCGUUGUUUCUUGAUUAUUUUGAUGAUUUUUUCAGCUGCAAAUAGUUCAAAUAGUUACAAGUGAUAAUAAUUGUAUGCGUAUUCGUAUGGAGCUGUGUGGGAAUAAACGAGAACUGGUUUGAUGAACAUGAGAACGCAUAGUAAUUAUUGCGAACACAUAUUCUAUAUAUUCAUACAACUCCGUACAUUUUUACGCCGUUAGCUUUCAUCUACUUUGUGUUCGAAUGUAAUUUUGGAGCAUUUUUCGAACUAAACAAUAUUAUGAAUAGGCAUUCUUUGAAGCAUAUAUAAGAACUCCUCAUUAUGCAAAUAUGUGUUACAAUAUAUGUUCAGUGAAGCGUUCAAACAGUGAUGAAUGAUAGAUCAAUAUUGUUCCAUUCAGUGCCCUAUUGUCGUACGAAAGUAUUCGGAUAAUAUGUUCGCAUCAAUUAAAUGCUUGACUCAAUGAUAAAUAGAAUAAAAAAUAAAAAUAAAAAUGGGCUGGAUGCCCAAGCAUAUGAAUAAUUCAAACAAAUUCCAAGCUGAUGCCGCUUUGUUUAUAUACAACACAUGUUAUAGAUAUGAAUACUACAGCGACUACUGAAUACUAUGUAUACGCUAAUGUGUUUAUGAGUGUAUAAAAUAGCUCCAGUUGCCGUAUGUUUGAAAAAGCAAAUAGACGCAUAUAUACGUGUGACUCAUCGCAAUAAUAAACAACAGAAUAUAAUGGAAGAAAAUCAAAUUACACAAAUACACCACAAACUUUCAAGAAUGCUGAAGAGCCUCCAACACCUCCACCUUCAUAUAAAAUUUCAAAUUUAACUAGAAUAUGUGCAAACAGUCUGACGUUAUCCAAAACUCAAAAUUAGCUGUCACGUUAUUAUCAUCAAUUGGCUAUAUUUUGUAGAACGUUGCAUUGGGUGCUCAGUCAAGUGAACAGCAUUCACCAAGUGCUAUCAAUACUCAGCCGCAUUUUGGGAACUCCAAUGAUGCCUUGAAUGUACCACAUCAAAUGACAAACUUUUCACCCGGCUUGGAGUACUUAACCACAGUUGAUCAACUAUUGAUAAAACAAAUACAGGCCUGCCACAGGUCAGCUUUUGAGCUGAUUAUCAGCUUUUUGAAAAUCUUCAGCUAUUAUUAGCUAUUUCGGUCACAGUUCAGCUUUUUCAGCUUU